AUUGAACGCUGGCGGCAUGCCUUACACAUGCAAGUCGAACGGCAGCGGGGGAGAAGCUUGCUUUUCCUGCCGGCGAGUGGCGAACGGGUGAGUAAUACAUCGGAACGUGCCCUGUAGUGGGGGAUAACUAGUCGAAAGAUUAGCUAAUACCGCAUACGACCCUAGGGUGAAAGUGGGGGACCGCAAGGCCUCAUGCUAUAGGAGCGGCCGAUGUCUGAUUAGCUAGUUGGUGGGGUAAAGGCCUACCAAGGCGACGAUCAGUAGCUGGUCUGAGAGGACGAUCAGCCACACUGGGACUGAGACACGGCCCAGACUCCUACGGGAGGCAACAGUGGGGAAUUUUGGACAAUGGGCGAAAGCCUGAUCCAGCAAUGCCGCGUGUGUGAAGAAGGCCUUCGGGUUGUAAAGCACUUUUGUCCGGAAAGAAAUGGCUCUGGUUAAUACCUGGGGUCGAUGACGGUACCGGAAGAAUAAGGACCGGCUAACUACGUGCCAGCCGCCGCUGUAA
rnacentral:rRNA from 1 species